GGCAUUACAAGCCAGUCGUGAGGAAGAGCCUUCUUGCGAUGUGUUUUGGCGAGCCAAUAUGCAACUUGAUUUGAUUCCCUUGGGCCAUAUGCCAAUUCCACCCAACUAGACCGGGCAAGCAUCUCUUUACAGUCUUCAAUAAUGGGUCUCAGCUCCCAUGGGCUUGGAUUUUGGCCCACUAUCAUUUUCACAAGUGAUAAGCUGUCUGUUGCUAUCUCCAAGCAGAGAUCGUGUCUCCACCGUAGAUCAUUUCUUGCUUUAGCCUCCAAGUACUUCAGCACAAAUCGCAGCGCCAGGGCUUCCACUUCAAGUGCAAUCGUUGCGACCAGUCUCUCAACAUAGCCAGCGACCACUCUCCCAUCUGAGUCACGACAUAUUCCGACAAUGGCUCCUUCCUUCUCCCCUUCGACUAGUGAUCCGUCUAUGUUGAAUUUCAAAGCUCCGGUUUUUGGGGGAAUCUACGAAUCAGGCGAGUUUCCUUUUCGCCCUUCUUGCUUGCUUGAUCUAUUGUUCCAUCGCUUAAAGUUCUUGUCUAUGGCACAUGCUCCGUCGACAAUUGAGCUCGGAUCUAGAGUUUGCUGCUGGAAGACAGCGCCGUUGCGAGCUAGCCAGAUUUUCCACAUCACCGCGGCAAUUAGCUCGGCUGAAGUAACAAUACGUGUUCUAUGGUUUCUGGGAAUUGACGGCAUACCGGGCAGAGAGGGUCGAGCGUGAUUGAUCUUUUGCAAAGGUUGUCGCAGGUUUGUAAGCUAUUCUGGCAUACACUCCAGAUGAAAAAUUUAAUUUUUGGCAUAGUGUUAAAUUUCUAAAUGUUCUGCCACAAGGAUUUUGGAAUCUGAUAUGAGGAGGAGGCCUGGUUGGGGUUCUGAAACCGUUCUAGCCUAUACAUGCUGUUGUAGGCUUCUUUCACUGUGUACUUGCCUAUUUUAUUCCCUGUCCAUACCAUUUCAUCUUCUUUUGGGGUAGUUGUCAGUGGUAUUGCCAAGAUUUCCUUCGCUGUCUGCUCACUAAACAGAGAAUUGAUUUUUUGUGCAUCCCAUCACUGUUCAUCCUUAGCUAAGAGCUCUUCAACUCUUUGGGGAUCCCCUGAGUUUGCCAGCCCUCCAAUGAUUCCCUGAGGUAGCCAUAUGUCUUCUCGAAUAACGAUUGAUUUCCCGUUUCCCACGGCCCAUCUAGUUAAAGGCUGCAUGCUAUCUCUCCCCAUUAACAGGCUUUGCCAUCCCCACGAGGGGCGGGAGCCUUUAGUGGCAUUCGAAAAGCUUACUCUGGGGAAAUAUAGUCCUUUGACUAUUUGGCUCCACAAGGCUAAAGGGGACUGAAUUAAUCUCCACGCCUGCUUUCCUAGCAUAGCUUUGUUGAAAGUAAUGAGAUCUCAAAAUCCGAGAACCCCCUCUAUCUUCCUUAGCUUAAGUACCUCCCAUCUCUUCCAAUGAACACUAGCCUUCGAUUCCUUCUGUUUCCACCAAAAAGAGGCUAUCUUUUGUUCGAUUGCUCUACAUACUGACAUGGGAAUCUUAAAAAUUGACAUCGCGUACUAGGGUAUUGCUUGUACUACAGCUUUUAUCAAGGUUUCGUUCCCCACUCUAGAGAUGAGCUUUUCCUUCCAGCCUUUUAGUUUUAGGUUGACCCUAGCCAAUAUCCAUGCAAACAUUUUGUCUAUUGGAAUUGUGGCAAGAUGAGGCAUCUUCGAAAGGAUUGCUUUAAGAUGAAAAACGAUAAGGGUAAGGGAAUUAGAGUUGAUUCUACGGAUGAUGUUGCAGUUAUAGCAGACAGUAAUUCAGAUAGUGCUGAUUAUAUCUUGUCUGUCACUGAUGAUUCGUCGUUUGGCGGAUGGAUUAUGGAUUCUGGUUGUUUUUUUCAUGCUACACCAAAUGGGAACUUGUUUACUACUUAUCCGUGCAUGGAUUGUAGUAAAGUGCAGUUGGGGAACAAUUAUGAAUGAGAUGUUAUAGGUGUUGGUGAUGUUAGAAUCAAAAUGCAUGAUAAUAUUGUGUGAACAUUGACUGAAGUGAGGCAUGUUUUAGGGUUGAAGAAAAA